GGGGAAAGAAGACCCUGUUGAGCUUGACUCUAAUCCGACUUUGUGAAAUGACAUACGAGGUAUAGCCUAGGUGGGAGAGUAAUCGAUCCUGUAAAACCACUACUCGUACUGCCAUUUUACUUAUUCUGUUAUGCAUGACCUAAUACAUUUAGUUCUAGCUUUAAGGGUGAAUUUCAUUUGCCCGACAUGUGCAGAAGACAAGGUCAGGUGGGGAGUUUGGCUGGGGCGGCACAUCUGUUAAACAGUAACGCAGGUGUCCUACGGU
rnacentral:rRNA from 14 species